UAAGUCCAAACAUCAGGAAUGGAUUAAGGUCGUAUACCGAGGUUCCACUUUAUUUUACUACAAAUUCUUAAUGGGUUAAUACUAAAAUUGAACAUUUACCUUUACUGGAAUACUCUUCUAUUAAGAUAUUCCAAACAUUAUUUGGCAGAAGUUCUAUAAAUUUUUGUUUUAGUCAGAAAUUUAAUCAAUUAGACUUUUGUAACCAUGCACAGUAAAAUUGAAUGGUUUGGCUGUGAUUACAAAUGGAUUUCUAACUAAAUAAUUAUCAUUACUGAUUUUUGGAAAAUAUUCUAAUAAAGAUGACUUCAAGUCAUAUAAGUGCUGUAAAGUUGCACUGAAUCCUUCAUCUUCAUAGAUUGUAGAAAUCUCAUUAGUCUUAAAGAAUAUGCCAAACAAUCAUUAAAAUUUCAUCUGGAGUUACCAGAAGUGAAGAAAUCCAUUAGUUCACUAUGAAAUUCAAAACUCUCACAAAGUUUAACAUUUUCUAGUGUGUCCUGACAUUUCUUAAAAACUUGUACUGUACCAUAAUUUUUGGAGUAAAAGCCACAGCAGUAAAAAUAGGUCAGUUAUAAACUGACAGAUAAGCUUUAAGUUGGUGUACCAUUAUACUAGCUGCACCAGUUUUUAUUGAUGAAAAAUAGAGCUACUGAAUGUUAAAAAUACAAAUAUUUGUUAAAAACAAUAGUAACAAUUAUCACUUAAAAAUUACAUGCAACAAAUUAAAUUCAGUGACAAUUUCAAUUUUGAUAAUUCCCAAUAUCGGUAACAUCAAACAUCAAUAUCAUCAUCAAUAUUAGUCAGUAUUUGUUUUCCAACUUGCAUAUUGGGAAAUAUUGUAUUGCUAGUCAAUUAUUUGAUAAUAUUUGCCAUUAGUUCAAAUAAUGCUGUCACCUGCAAAUUGAUUUGUAAGUGAUGUGAAAUUUUAAACACACGAGUCACACUUUUGUAUAAGCUGAAAUUUUUCUUUUCCAAUGUAUAAACAACAUGUAAGUCUUGGCUUAUAGUCCAAAAAUGAUCUUUGUCAGGAAGUAAGUUAUUUCAUGUGCAUUUUAAAUUUGGGAAAAGGAAUUAAUUAGUUGCAAGAUGUUAAAUCUAGUGAGUAAGGUGGAUGGUAAAGCUGGUUUGACAUCAGUUUUGGCCAAAAAGUUCUGUGCAAGCUUCAAUCUGUAUACCAAAGUAUUAUUUUGCAGCACUAGUACACCAGAACUCUCAGUUACAGGCCAAAGCAAUCAUCAUCUGACGGAGAUGAUUGGUUUGGCUUAUAAUUAAUAUUGUCAUUGAAUUUUGUUAUCUGUGAUAUAGUGGAUUAAUUUUGCCACUUAUAUGUGUAGACCUUUAUUCACUAUAAAAUCAUUCUAAUAUGACAAUAAAUAAAAUGUUUGGAAAAAUCUUCUUAUACAUUUAUUAUAUAUUUCAAGAUUUUCGAAAGUUUCUUUUUGUUAACUUGAAUUUCAUUCCAAAGUUCUAAGAUAUCAAAAACACUUAGGAUAAUAAACUAUGAUUAACUUUUUACAUUCUGUCGGCUUACUUCACAUACCUCAUAUCUCUAAAUUCCAUGUGUUUGAGAUUAUUGUAUCAACAUAAUCAAAAUAGUAUGACACAUCUGUAUGACAUAUCCUACAAACCUCAUGUUUCUGGUGUGUUUAAUUUUAAAGGCAAAAAUUCAUUGUCACAAAUGCUAUAUUUCUCUCAAAAACCAGUUUUAAUUGUCUCCUGUAAAGAUACAAGGUUUGUGAACUAGGCCAAUGAUUCAUCAUUCUCUUAAAUGUUUCACUAAUUAUUUUGUCAAUAAAUUUAUUUAUGUAAUUAUUUCCAGUGUUUUGCUUGUGGAGCUGAAAUUGGAAAUCAUAAAAACAAGCAUAGUUAUCAGUUGAUUAAGUUUCGGUAAAUUUAUAUGCUCAUUAUCAUCAUUUUUAAAGCCUGUUGUAGACAGUGGACACGACAAGAAACCUCCAGAAGAAAGCACGAAUUGUCUAGAUUAGGAAGAUAUUAACAAAGAUCAAGGAGGGCAAGGAAACCUUAUUAAACUUGAUUUCACGAUGAAUGACAAGCUCUCCAAUAAAAAGAAAAGAAAGGGAGAAAAUGAACUAGAUUGUGGUAAUGUUCCGGUCUUUCAGUCUCCCAAUGCUUGGAAAGCAAAAGAAGAAAUGAUGCUUUUGGAUGCCGUCGAACAUUACGGAUUUGGAAAUUGGGAGGAUAUAGCAGAAAGUGUAAAUGGAAAAACUGCUGAU